CGUCUCCUACGGGGGGCAGCAGUGAGGAAUAUUGGUCAAUGGGCGCAGGCCUGAACCAGCCAAGUAGCGUGAAGGAUGACUGCCCUAUGGGUUGUAAACUUCUUUUAUAUGGGAAUAAAGUUUUCCACGUGUGGAAUUUUGUAUGUACCAUAUGAAUAAGGAUCGGCUAACUCCGUGCCAGCAGCCGCGGUAAUACGGAGGAUCCGAGCGUUAUCCGGAUUUAUUGGGUUUAAAGGGUGCGCAGGCGGACCAUCAAGUCAGCGGUAAAAUCGUGGGGCCCAACCCCAUCCCGCCGUUGAAACUGG
rnacentral:rRNA from 1 species